rnacentral:rRNA from 1 species
AACGAACGCUGGCGGCAUGCCUAACACAUGCAAGUCGAACGAGACCUUCGGGUCUAGUGGCGCACGGGUGCGUAACGCGUGGGAACCUGCCCUUAGGUUCGGAAUAACUCCCCGAAAGGGGUGCUAAUACCGGAUAAUGUCUUCGGACCAAAGAUUUAUCGCCUUUGGAUGGGCCCGCGUUGGAUUAGCUAGUUGGUAGGGUAAAAGCCUACCAAGGCGACGAUCCAUAGCUGGUCUGAGAGGAUGAUCAGCCACACUGGAACUGAGACACGGCCCAGACUCCUACGGGAGGCAGCAGUGGGGAAUAUUGGACAAUGGGCGAAAGCCUGAUCCAGCAAUGCCGCGGGAGUGAUGAAGGCCUUAGGGUUGUAAAGCUCUUUUACCCGGGAUGAUAAUGACAGUACCGGGAGAAUAAGCGCCGGCUAACUCCGUG